CAAGAAACUACACGUUGGUAAAUAGCAUGCAGUAACUCAAUAGGAAGAGUCAUUCGACUAACGGUCCCUGCAAGAGAAACCGUGAAUGAGAGUGCAUGCGUUUUUUGUUUACAGACGGAAAACUGUUUUAGCGAUCCGUUGAUCUAAUUUUGUGCAAGGACAACCUUCGUUAUUUUAAGUUACCUUUUGAGGCAAGAUGGGGUAUUGGGUGCGGGGUAUGAUGGGACAUUGGUGAUAAUACCAUGGUACGUACUUACAAGAAAAAAACAAAAAGAGGAGAGUGGUCGAGAGAUGCUAUGAAAACAGCCAUAGAUAAAGUGACAUCGUCAGAACC
rnacentral:lncRNA from 1 species